UCCACCCUGAAAUUAAAACAAUGGAAAGCUCACAGAAAAUGAAAAGCUCACAGAAAGCAACCCUCAAAUUUGCAGUAAGUUGGCAUUCCCACAUAUUCAAGCUUCUGUGAAAAUGUCAGGUUAUUGCAAAUUUGAGGGUUGGUUUCAAUAAGUUUUCUGAGUUCCAGGAACACUGAUUUCCGUCUGGACGCUAUUUAUCCACAUUUGUAUGAGCAGCAUUCUUUUUUGAGGUUCAUGGAUCUAUUUGCCGGUCGACAUUUCUCUUUUUGUCUCCGACCGAUGGAUUCAUAGUUUUGGGCAAUUUUGUUUACUUGGCUAGGGUUUUAAUCCGGUGGCAUUGAUUUUUAUUUCUCGACGCGAUUUUGGGUGCCACAACAUCCUUUUUAGUCUACACCUAUUUCACUCAGACAUGGGUUUCCAAUCGCUAUCAGUGUAUCUUGUAAUUAGUUGCGGUGUUUUUUUAUUUUCUUUUGGGUAAAGGUUUUGAGAGUGCGAGCGGCAUAUGCCUAAAUUGGCGACUGUUUAUCUUGUUUUCUUGGUUGCCUCUUGCUCUAGCCAGUAGCUUGUUUGCAUGCUAGCAACGGCAUUUUGAAAUUGCUCGAGGCGGUUUAAUAGGCCAUUUUUCAUUCAUUAACUUCAACAAUAACUUUUUCGUUUUUCAAAAACACUUUUCAGCAGCCACUGCGAGUUUCUAGGUCCAAUUUUCUUUGGGCGACGUUUUAUGUAUUUGGAAUUAUUUGGCUCUUCUAGGUCUUGUUUGUUUUCUUUUUCUCUUCAGGUAAUUCCUUGCAUUGUUUUAAAUGCUAGCCGACAUCAGAUCUUCCAAUUCCAUCUUUUCCCCCAACUAGGGUUAGGAUUUGUUUUUAUAGUGUUGAGUUCCUUUAAUUUUCGAGCGUCUGGUUUACAUGUUUCUCUGCUGACAGUCGCUCUCUCUCGGCGUCUACUUGCAUUAAUAUUUCUACGGUUGCUGAAUUUCUGUUUGGAUUUUUAGCUCUUCUGGGUACCGUAAACCAGCGCGGCGACUGAUAUUUGUUGCUGGCGACUAUUGUUUUGUUUCCGGCAAGUCUUUUUGUAGUCUGCGUGCUAUUUUUUACUGGAAUAAAUCUUUGACGUUCGGAUUUUAAUUUGCAAAUGGGUAUUUUAUUUUAAAAUUGCUUAUGGAACCUUUAAUUCAUGGUGGACUUCUCUCGCUGCAUACCAAUGAUUCUCGUAGACAUCUUACCUUACUAUGAGAUCUCAAGGCUUUUCGGCCGCCUGCCUGUAGGCGGGAACUAAUGUUUCAUCCAUUCAAUUCUCUAUUAGUUGUCUUCGAGAACUGUGUUAUGAGCAAUAUUUUCGUUGCUAUCUUAAAGUUGAGAUUUGAUGUUGUUUUUAUUUUGCGUUUAAAAUGUAGCAGAUGUGUUUUUAUUUUUGCGUUUAAAAUGUAGCAGAUGUUUUCUGUUUUUUAUUUUUGCGUUUAAAUUGUAGCAGAUGUUUUCGCAUUUUCCGUGGGGAAUAGAGUAUUUUUUAUGGUAUCGAUCAAAUUGGUAUUAGUUGUCUUCAAAACUAUGUCAUGAGCAAUAUUUUUGUUGCUCUCCUAAAGUUGAGUUUCCUGUUCUUUUAUAUUACUCUUGAUCAGAAACCGAGCGAUGAAAUAUAUUUGCAUGUUCCAAUGUUUUUAACAAUUACGUGGCAUUAUGUAAAUAGGACGUAUGGCCUGCAGAUGGGCAACGUGCAAGGAUAUGGCAAGGGCAAGUGUAAUAUGUAUAGGCUAAUUUGCUGAGGUUUUUUGAGUAUGCUUCCACCUCAAAACCGUUGUUCUAACACAGGCAGUGAUGGUACUAAGUGGACAUGCAUUAAUUUCGGCAUGCAUUCCUACCAGCACAGUUGCAACAACGUUGUCCGACAAAAGUCACUUAAAGCCCUAAAUGGGCCUGCCAGGUACAAGACAGAAUUGGUGCUAGCUGUAGCGCACACAAACGUUGAAGUAUGAUAAGCUAUGGUUUUGCAGCAUCUGAAACUUUUAUUCUAAAAGCAAAUUGAAGUGAAACGUUUCUGUUUAGAAUAAGUGUAAAAACAUCCCAUGCCUCAAGCACAUCAAAUAACAAAGGCUUGACUACAUGAA